UACGUAGGGUGCGAGCGUUGUCCGGAAUUAUUGGGCGUAAAGAGCUUGUAGGCGGUUUGUCGCGUCUGCUGUGAAAUCCGGGGCUCAACCCCGGACUUGCAGUGGGUACGGGCAGACUAGAGUGUGGUAGGGGAGACUGGAAUUCCUGGUGUAGCGGUGGAAUGCGCAGAUAUCAGGAGGAACACCGAUGGCGAAGGCAGGUCUCUGGGCCACUACUGACGCUGGAGAAGCGGAAAGCAUGGGAGCGAACAGG
rnacentral:rRNA from 1 species